rnacentral:rRNA from 1 species
CGGCGGACGGGUGAGUAAUGUCUGGGAAACUGCCCGAUGGAGGGGGAUAACUACUGGAAACGGUAGCUAAUACCGCAUAAUGUCUACGGACCAAAGCGGGGGACCUCCGGGCCUCGCGCCAUCAGAUGAACCCAUAUGGGAUUAGCUAGUAGGUGAGGUAACGGCUUACCUAGGCGACGAUCCCUAGCUGGUCUGAGAGGAUGAUCAGCCACACUGGGACUGAGACACGGCCCAG